CUGGUUGGAGGGUCGGGUAACUAGUCAAGGAAGUAUUUUCUCUGUUCUCUUUAAGUCAGUCGUAAACAGAUUCCAUCUUGUCCUUUUUCCCUCUCUCUCUCUCUCAGCAAUCUACCUUGUGUUCAAUCAGUAAAACAGCACUACCUCCUAAAAUGAGUCUCUCAGAAGUGAACGAGGCAGGCGCUGACGCAAACAGGCGUAUCUUUCAGGACCGUGACGCUGUAAAAGAGGCCGAAAGCUGUCUGUCCAUGAAGAGUGACCAGUCU